rnacentral:rRNA from 1 species
GGAGUUAGCCGGUGCUUCUUCUGUGAGUGAUGUCCUUCCUGCCGGCUAUUAACCCGCAGGCCUUCUUCCUCACUGAAAGUGCUUUACAACCCGAAGGCCUUCUUCACACACGCGGCAUGGCUGGAUCAGGGUUGCCCCCAUUGUCCAAUAUUCCCCACUGCUGCCUCCCGUAGGAGUCUGGGCCGUGUCUCAGUCCCAGUGUGGCUGAUCAUCCUCUCAGACCAGCUACGGAUCGUCGCCUUGGUGAGCCGUUACCUCACCAACCAGCUAAUCCGACAUAGGCUCAUCCGAUAGCGCGAGGCCCGAAGGUCCCCCGCUUUCCCCCGUAGGGCGUAUGCGGUAUUAGCCUGGGUUUCCCCAGGUUAUCCCCCACUACCGGGCAGAUUCCUAUGCAUUACUCACCCGUCCGCCGCUCGCCACCAGGGAGCAAGCUCCCCGUGCUGCCGCUCGACUUGCAUGUGUUAGGCCUGCCGCCAGCGUUCAAUCUGAGCCAUAAUCAAACCUCUGA